rnacentral:rRNA from 1 species
GACGAACGCUGGCGGCGUGCUUAACACAUGCAAGUCGAACGGAAAGGCCCUGCUUUUGUGGGGUGCUCGAGUGGCGAACGGGUGAGUAACACGUGAGUAACCUGCCCUUGACUUUGGGAUAACUUCAGGAAACUGGGGCUAAUACCGGAUAGGAGCUCCUGCUGCAUGGUGGGGGUUGGAAAGUUUCGGCGGUUGGGGAUGGACUCGCGGCUUAUCAGCUUGUUGGUGGGGUAGUGGCUUACCAAGGCUUUGACGGGUAGCCCGCCUGAGAGGGUGACCGGCGACAUGGGGACUGAGGUAGGGCCCAGACUGCUACGGGAGGCAGCAGUGGGAAAUAUUGCACAGUGGGCGGGAGCGUGAUGCGGCGACGCCGCGUGCGGGAUGACGGCCUUCGGGUUAUAAACCGCUUUCGCCUGUAACGAAGAGUGAGUGACGGUAAUGGGUAAGGAAGCACCGGCUAACUACGUG